UCGUCACACGCGCCGGGACUAAAGGGUCCUGCCCAACGGCUACAUGUCAUGGCUGUCGGGGCAAGGACCCUUUAGUCCCGGCUCGUGUUACGGU
rfam:Sorghum bicolor cultivar BTx623 chromosome 2, whole genome shotgun sequence.